rnacentral:rRNA from 1 species
AACGAACGCUGGCGGCAGGCUUAACACAUGCAAGUCGAACGUGAUCUUCGGAUCUAGUGGCAGACGGGUGAGGAACACGUGGGAACAUCCCUUUCAGUUCGGAAUAACGUUGGGAAACUAACGCUAAUACCGGAUACGUCCUUCGGGAGGAAGAUUUAUCGCUGAAAGAUUGGCCCGCGUCUGAUUAGCUAGUUGGUGAGGUAACGGCUCAUCAAGGCUACGAUCAGUAGCUGAUCUGAGAGGAUGAUCAGCCACAUUGGGACUGAGACACGGCCCAAACUCCUACGGGAGGCAGCAGUGGGGAACAUUGGACAAUGGGCGCAAGCCUGAUCCAGCCAUGCCGCGUGAGUGAUGACGGCCUUCGGGUUGUAAAGCUCUUUUGUCCGGGAAGAUAAUGACUGUACCGGAAGAAUAAGCCCCGGCAAACUUCGUGCCAGCCGCCGCCGUAA